rnacentral:rRNA from 1 species
GACGAACGCUGGCGGCGUGCUUAACACAUGCAAGUCGAACGGGAUUUAGUAAACAGAAACCUCGGUGGAAGAUUACUAAUGAGAGUGGCGAACGGGUGAGUAACGCGUGAGCAACCUGCCUAUGACAGUGGGAUAGCCUCGGGAAACCGGGAUUAAUACCGCAUAAAAUCGUAGAAACACAUGUUUUAACGGUCAAAGAUUUAUCGGCAUAGAUGGGCUCGCGUCUGAUUAGCUAGUUGGUGAGAUAACAGCCCACCAAGGCGACGAUCAGUAGCCGGUCUGAGAGGAUGAACGGCCACAUUGGAACUGAGACACGGUCCAAACUCCUACGGGAGGCAGCAGUGGGGAAUAUUGCACAAUGGGGGAAACCCUGAUGCAGCGACGCCGCGUGAACGAAGAAGGUAUUCGUAUCGUAAAGUUCUGUCCUAUGGGAAGAUAAUGACAGUACCAUAGAAGAAAGCUCCGGCUAAAUACGUG